UUACCUGAAAUACCACCGACAAGAUGCACCGGGCCUGAGCCAGCAAUAUCAACGACUCCCAUACGAUUCAGAAAACCGUGAUCGCCCCAAACCCAUCCGGCUGGCACGCAGUACACGAUAGUGUUCACAAAUGAAAAGAGACACACCACUAACGAUGGUCGUAGAAGUGGUGGCAAAGCUCAAUUGAAAUAUAAACGCAGCGCAAAUGGCACCCAUGUACUCGUCGUCAACGGGUGGAUCUACGAAUAUACCUCCGAUACCGAUUAGAGGGUUGUUGGGUUCGCUCAAGCCGAAGCUAAAUCCAAAUCCAAACAUCCAACACACAGCCGGACUCUAACAUUCCGAAACCUAUGGAGUUUGCAAGAGAUAUAUAACGUAUUACACGUGAAUAAUGAUAAAAGUGCAGCAAUAAUAAAGGUAGUAAUAAGUAGU
rnacentral:lncRNA from 13 species